UACAGAUCAGCAUCCUGAAGGUAGGGAAGAACAAAUGACUUGUUCAAGGUUACAAAGAUAAAUAAGUGGCCAAGCGAGAGUCUGAAAGUACAUCUUGAUGCUAUCACCUCGCCUUUCCUGCCACACCAUGCGCCUUUGAAAACCAAGGACCUGGAACCUAGCAGCUGCUCACUAAAUAGUUGUUGAAUAAAUGACCCAGCGAGGUAUCAAAUGCAGCAUUUUUCUUGCCAACACUUCAGUUCUACCCCGAUGAACGACAGGACAUGACAGAAGUAACUCAAGAACUGGCAGAUUCUCCAAGUCUCAACUUGCCAUCCAGUGACCUCGGCCCUUGGUCUCAGUAUCCUCAAGGAAUAUUUACCAUCAUGCUAAAGGAAAAAGUAUCAUCUAUAAGGGACAAAAAAAUUUACAUUUGUCCAGCUGAGGAAGAGGAUGUGAAGAGACAUAGAAGUCAGGAAAUACAAAAUGAAUAAAUGUGUCCACAACACUGUGGCAAAUCCAAAGGGAAAAGGAGCUUCUGAGAGUGGACCCUACACCACUUCCCCUUUAGGGCAGCAUGUGAGUAUCUGCCUACGCUGGUGGCAGGACAGACACCUUUCCAAGCUUUUGGGAGGGCAGGAUCAGAACUGGACUUCAUUCCUUGACUGCUAGAUGGGAGUGCUUGUGAUGGAAGGAUAGAAGGAGCCAUUAAACAGUGAAAAGAUACUCUUACGAUGGCACUGAUGGAAAAACAGAUAUGGAGAGGCGAUAAUUCAUAUCAUAUACUCAAGUCAAAAACAGCAGCAGCCUAACAAGACAGUGUUUCACUGAAAAGAACACCCAGACAGAAACACAAAAUUACAGGUAUGAAGUCACCUCUCCCAUGAUGUGUAACUUCUGAGCCAAGAAAUAGGAUUACCGUGACAAAAAGAAUAACACUAUCCAUCUAGAGCUCUUUUCUCUCCCCAGCAAUAUAUUUGAAAUAGUAAUUUUUUGUACUUAAUCAUCAGCAGAAAAUAAGACAUGGAACCAUUUUUCAAAAGCAGCAAAAUGUUUUUCUAGUUUAAUACAUUCUCUGAGAACUGGAUCUUCUCUUCGCUGCAGAUAAUGAAAAGGUAAGCAGAUUUACGCAGAGGAUAGGCCUUUCAAGCAAAGAAGUAACUUCUGCCAAGCUCUGAGGGCGGGAUCUAAUACACUUUGUCCUUCAAGGACUGAAGCCUAAGUCAACCUUGACCCUGACUCUGGGCCGGACCCUCCACCUUGUUCUCCUAAUCACAGAACAGUUUUCCUCUGUUUCAGGGAAGGUUGCCAGAUAGAAGCUGCCUCUGAGACCUCCAGCUAGAUGAUUUUCCUGAUGAGAAGGAACAAAGAAAGAUACAGUUUUCUUCUUUGUUUUUUUCCUGGAAAGGAUGAAAAUAUUAUUAUCUGGACCUGUCAAGGUUGUCCUGCAUUGCUUUUUUACACUUUACACGGUCACAUUUCAGUGCUGUUGGUAAAUAGAGAUUCAAAUACUAGGAAGAGACGCGAAAGAGAGAUUGAGAGAAGACCAGGGAAAUAAUGCCAACAAAGCAGAGUCAGAUCUAAGCACUAAGAAGGCAAGGGCAACGCAGGGGCUGUGGGGAAGGGAGAGAAGAGAAAACAAAAAAACCUCCACGGCAAGAAGGAGGAAGAAACAGAUUAUGAAAGGAAGACAUACAGAAAGACAGUAAAUGUGAGUGGGAGAGGGCCCGGAGUAUGGAUAAGCCUGAAGCCAAUUACCCAAAGUCAAGGUUAUUUACACACCUGUCUUUCAUUCCCAAGCUAAGUACUUAAGAGAAAUAUUUUCAUUUUUAUCAGAGGCAAAAUAGUAAAGGUCAUGCAGUACAGAGGUUAAGGCCCGGGUUAAAUCCCAGCUCUUUCAUUUAUUCACUGCGUAGCCUUGGACAUGUUCCUUAACCUACACCCCAGGUUCUUCCUCUGUAAAAUAAUAAUAAUAAAACAUAAUCAUUAUAAGGAUUUAACAAGUACGUACAGUACUUAACACAGGGACCAUUCCUACUAAGUAGUCAAUAAAUUCUAGCUAUUAUUAGAAAAGGACAUCG